rnacentral:rRNA from 1 species
AGCGAACGCUGGCGGCAGGCCUAAUACAUGCAAGUCGAGCGCACCUUCGGGUGAGCGGCGGACGGGUGAGUAACGCGUGGGAACGUGCCCUUUGGUACGGGAUAACUGAGGGAAACUUCAGCUAAUACCGUAUGUGCCCUACGGGGGAAAGAUUUAUCGCCAUUGGAGCGGCCCGCGUUGGAUUAGGUAGUUGGUGGGGUAAAGGCCCACCAAGCCGACGAUCCAUAGCUGGUCUGAGAGGAUGAUCAGCCACACUGGGACUGAGACACGGCCCAGACUCCUACGGGAGGCAGCAGUAGGGAAUCUUGCGCAAUGGGCGAAAGCCUGACGCAGCCAUGCCGCGUGAAUGAUGAAGGUCUUAGGAUUGUAAAAUUCUUUCACCGGGGAAGAUAAUGACGGUACCCGGAGAAGAAGCCCCGGCUAACUUCGUGCCAGCAGCCGCGGUAAUACGAAGGGGGCUAGCGUUGCUCGGAAUUACUGGGCGUAAAGGGCGCGUAGGCGGAUGUUUAAGUCGGGGGUGAAAGCCCGGGGCUCAACCUCGGAAUUGCCUUCGAUACUGGACAUCUUGAGUACGGGAGAGGUGAGUGGAACUCCGAGUGUAGAGGUGAAAUUCGUAGAUAUUCGGAAGAACACCAGUGGCGAAGGCGACUCACUGGCCCGUUACUGACGCUGAGGCGCGAAAGCGUGGGGAGCAAACAGG